rnacentral:rRNA from 1 species
AUUGAACGCUGGCGGCAUGCCUUACACAUGCAAGCCGAACGGCAGCACGGGAGCAAUCCUGGUGGCGAGUGGCGAACGGGUGAGUAAUAUAUCGGAACGUGCCCAGUCGUGGGGGAUAACGUAGCGAAAGCUACGCUAAUACCGCAUACGAUCUAUGGAUGAAAGCGGGGGAUCGCAAGACCUCGCGCGAUUGGAGCGGCCGAUAUCAGAUUAGCUAGUUGGUGGGGUAAAGGGCUCACCAAGGCGACGAUCUGUAGCUGGUCUGAGAGGACGACCAGCCACACUGGAACUGAGACACGGUCCAGACUCCUACGGGAGGCAGCAGUGGGGAAUUUUGGACAAUGGGCGAAAGCCUGAUCCAGCAAUGCCGCGUGCAGGACGAAGGCCUUCGGUUGUAAACUGCUUUUGUACGGUAACGAAAAGGUUACUUUCUAAUAAAGAGAGCCCAUGACGGUACCGUAAGAAUAAGCACCGGCUAACUACGUAGCCAGCACG